CGAUGCCGGCGGCCCGGAGCUUGAGUACCGCGGUCUGGGAGAUCGCGGAGAUCUCCGGUGCGUCCCAGAGGGCGGCGGCCA
rnacentral:tRNA from 1 species